rnacentral:tRNA from 1 species
ACUUGGGUGGCUCAGUCAGUUAAGCACCUGACUUUGGCUCAGGUCAUGAUCUCAUGGUUUGUGAGUUCGAGUCCCACUUUGGGUG